CCGAAGUCUUUACGGUUUAAAUU
rnacentral:snRNA from 1 species